ensembl:lncRNA
AUGCUGUACAGCGUUCUCUCUUCUUCUCUAGAAAACUUCGUUGGUGGCCAGUUGCUUACAAUGGAUUGUCCUCGAGGUUACCCGCAAAAACAGAGAUGUAUACUCAGCUUUUGGAAAACUAGCCUUGAGGGCUUCCAAUUUUCAAUAAAAACUGGCUACUUUAAUGACCCGGUAUCUCAAGCCCAGUGCCUGGUUUUCCUUCGAAGGGGUCUCGCCAGGGCCUUGGACAGAGAGUUUUUCCCCAGUAAGCAUGAGUUCCAGACCUUUCGCAGGCGCUCUCAGGCACCCUCUGCCGCCUCCAGGUCCAGCCAGCAACUUCUUUCACAAUCUUCCCCAAGUUUGGAAGCUUCCGUCAAGUGUCCUGGCUUUGGCCCGCCAGUCUGCUGUCUCCGGGUUCCCAUAGAACUCCAAGUCCGAGAGCCUGGGACUCCCGACCCCCUACACUCCCGCGGAGCCCAGCCCCGGGCCUCUCCCGGGGGUCCCUACUUUCCCCGCCUUUACCUGACGCCUGCCAGCCCGUCCGUGACUAGGGGUGCAGCAGCCUCCUCCCACCGCCAGUCCUUCCAUUGGCUCGGGCGGCUGCCCGUCUACCCCGCCUGCCCCUGCUCGGGUCCGGAGGCAGGUUUAGCUAAAGGAGCGGUGGCCGCUUCAGCUCCAGCCCAGGCAGCAGCCGCCGGAGGAGAAAGGAGGUCGGGCAAGCGGGCGCGGGAGGGAACGGCAGAGCUAGGAGUCGCUGCUGGUGCCUGCUUAGCAUGUCCCUGCGCACAGGAGUUCCCCCACGACGCCGCCGCCUCCCUAGCUCCAGCAGUAGCAGCAGCAACAGCAGCAGCAGCGCCACCGCCGCCGACUCCCGAGCAGCAAACUUGGCAGCGAUGUCUCCCGGCUUCGAGCUGGCCAUGUAGCAGCUCGCCAGGCUCCCCCUGGACCUCUGUCCGCGCCUCUUCCCUCUGGGCCAGGGGGAAGAGAGCGAGAGCGAGAGCUAGCCGGAGGCUGAGCAGCGCGGCAUGCAUUCAGCAGCCGUGGGCCCCUGACACGGGUGCUCCGAGACGUCUCCCCGAGCGAGGGACAGUGCCCUUCGGUGGGUGCCCGGGCUGGACUUCGGGGAGAGCGAGGGAAAUGAGCGAGAAACUUUCGGAGCCGCCGGAGCCUGUGCCCCACCGCGGCUGCUGCAGCAGUAGCAGCAGUCUGGUCCCUGCUCCGGCGGACGUUCCCGCCGCAAACGCGUCCCCUUGUACCUCAUCGUCUGUGUCCUCUUCUGGCUCUGAAACUCUGUCAGAGGAAGGGGAGCCUAGUGGCCAGGUCGCCUCUUCGGUCGGCCAGCAUCAGCAGCCGCAGCAACAGCCUCAGCAGCAGCAGCAGCCUUCUGCCCCGCCAGCUCCGGGCGCAGAAGGGCGGGGAGAAGCCCGACGGCGGCAGCAGUUGGAGCCGCAGGCAGAUCGCGGUGCGGCCGGGCAGUCCGGGAGCCUGGGAGCCUUGCUGCCCGGGGCUGAGUGCGGCGGCGCGUCGCAGGAGGAACAAGAUGAGGAGGUUCCUUGGGCAAUACAGAGGUGUUAG